rnacentral:rRNA from 1 species
CCUACGGGGUGCAGCAGUGGGGAAUUUUGCGCAAUGCUCGUAAGAGUGACGCAGCGACGCCGCGUGAAUGACGAAGGCCUUCGGGUCGUAAAGUUCUUUCGACAGGGAAGAAAAUGCCUAUAAGUAACUGUGUAUGUAUUGACGGUACCUGUAUAAGCAGCCCCGGCUAACUCCGUGCCAGCAGCCGCGGUAAUACGGAGGGGGCGAGCGUUGUUCGGAGUGACUGGGCGUAAAGAGCACGUAGGCGGUGUUGUAAGUCAUUAGUCAAAGACUAGAGCUCAACUUUAGUAAGGCUAGUGAUACUAUAAUACUAGAGUAUCAGAGAGGAUUGCAGAAUUCCUGGUGUAGCGGUGAAAUGCGUAGAUAUCACGCAGAACUCCGAUUGCGAAGGCAGCAUACCGGCGCGCAACUGACGCUCAUGCACGAAAGCGUGGGUAUCGAACAGGAUUAGAUACCCCUGUAGUC